CGUUUGCCGUUACUUAAUCUCCCCGACACUCUUUCUGCUACAUCACACCUUUUCAUAUGCUGUACAAUUAGUUGUGAUGAAAAGCACCGCAGAACCGACAACUAAACUAUGUGAAUAGUUUGACCUACUUUGCACUUUUCCUUCUCUGCAUCUUCAGGAGAGCCGUCCUCGUCAUUAACUCCGUCUCUCUGCCCGUCUGUUUGCUCGUAUGUCUGAUUGUGUCGUUCGCCAUCCCCACCUCCCGCAGCGCCAUCCGUGCCGUUCGCUCUCCACAGUCUUCCUAAAAUACAAUGUGGUAUGUGAGACGUUUCUGCCGAAUAAACACCCCCCCACCCCAAAAAAAAAAAGAAAACACAAAUCAGUGUCGAGGGGCGACAUGUUUAUUAGUCUUUACCGUAAUGUAUUAACGUCCUGCAUGUUGACCCCAGAAACACUGUGACUCACCUCUCUAUAACCGCAGCCCUCCUCCCCCCAGUCCUCUGAUGUGCUAUCUGUUUUGAGCACAGUGCAUAUAACCCUGAAACAGCAAAGGUUUCGACUAAUGCUCAUUGUUGCAGAGAGGACAGGGAAACGGUUCUGAGCCGGAGCUGUGAUGUGUCGAGUGAAGCAGAGGUUGUGGCCAGAAAGCGCAUCACGUUAAACGGAGCAAUACCCCAGACACCCUCCCCGUCGCCCCCGAGUGCACAUUAUCCCCCUCCUAAAAAAAAAAGAAAAAAAAAAGGGCUAUAAGAUCUGUGGACUGGAUUGUCAUUUUCACUAAAACAUACUGUCAGUGCUUCUUUUGGCCAACUGAACACAAGAUUAAUCUCAGCUGCAGAACCUUGCAUAGGUAUUUAUACACGUUGAACUUUUUAGUAUUUUUUUUAUUCACCCACAAUAUUUAAUGUAUUUUUAUUACAAUUUGAUGUCACAGAUCAACACAAGUUAGCGAAUAACUGCAAAACUGGAAAGAGAUGGAAAUGAGUUUUCUGCAAAGACGUUUUAAAACCAUGUAUCCUCUUUUCCUCCCACCUUACAAUUCUUGCAAAGUUUUUUUUUUUGUUGUUGUUGGUCCAUCCUCCCGAUGAAUACCAAGGAGUUUGAGAAUGCAAAGUGACAAAAUGCAAACAUUUUCAAGAGGUUUAAAUAGUUUUUGCAAGGCACAGUAGCUGCAGCAGGAAACUGCUUCUUAACUCCAUCCAAUAAGGCAAUACUAGUUUAUGUAUCCAUAAAAGCACGAGAGCAAACCCUCUGUUCACACUGCUGUGUCUUCUCUUCAUGUGUACAUGCAUGUGUGUGAAAGCGUUAGCGUGUCUGUCCGGGCGGAUUGUCACUCCUACUAUAUGGGCUCUCUGAUAGUGAGCAAUAUCUACACGCCCAAACUGUAUGCGCUGUCAAUGUUAGAAAACUACAAGAGCACCAAGGGCACUAUCCACAUCAAAGGAAUGGGAAACUUAUGAUCACAUCUUUUUUGUAAAUCACUGGGAUAUUUUCUUUACGGACUCAUAAACUCCCAUUCCUGAUGGAAGUGUAUAAUCUUUUUUUUUUUUUUACAUUCUUGCCUAAGGAAAGUGUCUUGAUUUUGCAUUUUUCUUUAGGAAAAGUACACCUCCAAAAACCAAAGCCCUUUAAAAAAAAAAAAAAAAAAAAAAGAAUGAAGCCAUUAAAGUCACCGCCAAGCAUUUAUAAAGUUCAUUAUUUUAAGUCAUAAUGGUUGAUAAACCGUUACCUUUUCUUGCAAAAAAAAGCAAAACAAAACAAACAAAAAAGCAGACACUCAUAGCCAUAAUCAAGCUCGCCUUGCAGUCUCUUUGUAUCUCUAAAUGUCAGUGACAGUGACUAAAGCCACCCACACAUUGGCCUGUUACGUGUUGUCUUUUCUUUGAGGCUAAAAUCGACCAAAAAUAAACCCUGUGAAUGUCACUUGUCCUCAGCAGAAGUGUUUUCUCUCUGCUCUUGUGAAAUCGAAAACCGUGACUUGCUUGGAGACACCGACUCAUGCCUUUGAUUUAAGCCAACCGAUUCCACUUGACUCAUAAGAAUACAAACACCCCACUGGGUUUCUCUGUGAAUCUUUGGCAACGCUUAAAGGAGAACUCCACUGAUUUUUACACAUCAUAAACCUUUCCUGAUUACCAUAUGAGAAAAUGUGUUACAUCCUUGUCUUUGGGAUUUUUAAAGUGAGGUGCUGGUAGUUUGUUACACAAAUCCAGAUUAUUUGGAUUUGCGUAGGCUAAAGCUAACGGCUAAUCCAAGAGAGACUAAGACCGAAGCCUGCUUCUACCUUCUUGAAAUAACGUCGUACUGCCUUUAGCAAACAAUAUUUAUCGAACCUUAAAGCCUUUUUUAUGAUGGGAUUGGUUGUUUGCAACACAAGAAGUGGAGGUAAGAGAAGAUUCACCAGGAAUCAUCUUCCUAUGUGAAAGGUGCCGAGAACUAAAUACGUUAUGGAAAUUAUUUCUACUCAAAGUACCUGUUUAAUAUCCCCAUUUUUCCUAGGUUCCCAGGAUGCUUUGCAAGGAUUUUCUUACUGGUUCUCAGACCAUUUUUCUAACAUGGAAGCAAAUGGUUUCUCACAGAAAAACAAAAACAGUAGGAAAAUCAGCUUGUUCGCUUUAAACUUGUAUAGUUUCAUUCUAAUUACUGGUUCCUCUUCUAAAGACUGGGGAGAAUGACAUGAAGCAAUGGAAAAAUCUGCAAACAAUCAAACAGUUGGCAUGUUUAGUUAAAGAGUCAAGAAGUUUAGCAAAAAUGUAAACUGGUAAAAAAAAAAAAAAA